rnacentral:rRNA from 1 species
UACGUAGGGUGCGAGCGUUAAUCGGAAUUACUGGGCGUAAAGUGUGCGCAGGCGGCUUCGCAAGUCGAGUGUGAAAUCCCCGAGCUUAACUUGGGAAUUGCGCUCGAAACUACGGAGCUGGAGUGUGGCAGAGGAAGGUGGAAUUCCACGUGUAGCGGUGAAAUGCGCAGAUAUCAGGAGGAACACCGGUGGCGAAGGCGGGGUCUCUGGGGCCGAUACUGACGCUGAGGAGCGAAAGCGUGGGGAGCGAACAGG